AUCCUUUUUUAAGUGCAUUCCAGAGAGUUUGCAAAGAGGGAUUAGACGGGAUUAGUCACUUCAUAGCAGUGACGAUUUUGGUCUGCCUCUUUGCGCAUAUGCAAAGAGGCUUUUUUAAU
rfam:Bacillus glycinifermentans strain GO-13 contig_28, whole genome shotgun sequence.